UGGGCGUCCGGUAGAAACUGCGUGGCUUGGGACCGGAAGGCGCGACGGGUACGUCCGGGGUAGGAGUGAAAUCCCGUAAUCCUGGACGGACCGCCGAUGGCGAAAGCACGUCGCGAGAACGGAUCCGACAGUGAGGGACGAAAGCCAGGGUCUCGAACCGGAUUAGAUACCCGGGUAGUCCUGGCCGUAAACAAUGUCUGCUAGGUGUGGCUCCCACUACGAGUGGGUGCUGUGCCGUAGGGAAGCCGCUAAGCAGACCGCCUGGGAAGUACGUCCGCAAGGAUGAAACUUAAAGGAAUUGGCGGGGGAGCACUACAACCGGAGGAGCCUGCGGUUUAAUUGGACUCAACGCCGGACAUCUCACCAGCAUCGACUGUAAUAAUGACGAUCAGGUUGACGACCUUAUCCGAGUUUCAGAGAGGAGGUGCAUGGCCGCCGUCAGCUCGUACCGUGAGGCGUCCUGUUAAGUCAGGCAACGAGCGAGACCCGCACCCUUACUUGCCAGCAGUACCGCGAGGUAGCUGGGGACAGUAGGGGGACCGCCGUGGCUAACACGGAGGAAGGAACGGGCAACGGUAGGUCAGUAUGCCCCGAAUGUGCUGGGCAACACGCGGGCUACAAUGGUCGAGACAAAGGGUUCCUACUCCGAAAGGAGACGGUAAUCUCAGAAGCUCGAUCGUAGUUCGGAUUGUGGGCUGCAACUCGCCCACAUGAAGCUGG
rnacentral:rRNA from 1 species